UGCAAAUUUGAAGUAUUAACCAAAAUGUUUUAAAAGAUUUCACUUCAUAUGUAAAAUGUGAAAUGAAGCUGAACCUUCAAAGUCAAGGCCUUUCAAGUUUUGGGCUAUAUAUGCGGAACUAAAUUUUACCUACUUUUAUCACCUCUCUCUGCCCACUGCUCUCCCACUGAAUGAGUCAGCUUCCCUUUCAAUAUGAUUGAGGGGGAAGUCAUUCCAAAGGCUGAGCUGCUGGGAGCCCAAGUGAACCAGUGUAUCCAUUUCCUGGUAAGGUCACUCUGCAGAGUUGCUGCCAGGGACCAGGUGGCCUGGCACAAGAUCUGAGACUCGGCAUCCUUUGCUGACUGCAAACAUCAGCCCCUCAUCCCUGAGGGUCACCGAGGGCGAGGAGCUGGGCGAGGCCUCUCCCUGUCCAUGUACCAGUCAGCUCCUUACGUGAAGGUCUGGUGAUUCAUCAUUCCACUGGAGUUUGAGCCUGGUGGUGCCAUCUAUCCUACAGCGAUAUUCAGGAACACUGGAUAGGCCUUAGUUCUAUUUGCAUCUCCUGUUCGCCUCUCCAGGAGGUCUACAUCUCACCUCCACCAGAAAGCCUUCACCUGCUCCCCACUUCUAUGUAGUCAGCCUGGUCUACUUAAAAUUCAGUGCAAAUGUCUACUGCUUUAUAAGAAUUUCCCUGGUCUCCCACUCCCAUUAGAAUUAACCAUACCCUCCUCUAUGUUCCCAUUAUACUCUGUUUAUAACACCAUCAUAAAAUUUAAU